rnacentral:rRNA from 1 species
UACGUAGGGGGCAAGCGUUGUCCGGAUUUAUUGGGCGUAAAGAGCGUGUAGGCGGCCAUACAGGUCAGCUGUGAAAACUCGAGGCUCAACCUCGAGACGUCGGUUGAAACCGUAUGGCUAGAGUCCGAAGAGGAGAGUGGAAUUCCCGGUGUAGCGGUGAAAUGCGCAGAUAUCGGGAAGAACACCCGUGGCGAAGGCGGCUCUCUGGGACGGUACUGACGCUGAGACGCGAAAGCGUGGGGAGCGAACAGG